rnacentral:rRNA from 1 species
GAUCAUGGCUCAGGACGAACGCUGGCGGCGUGCUUAACACAUGCAAGUCGAACGAGAGGACAAGAGAAGCUUGCUUCUUUUGGAAUCGAGUGGCAAACGGGUGAGUAACACGUAAACAACCUGCCUUCAGGAUGGGGGACAACAGACGGAAACGACUGCUAAUACCGAAUACGCUUGGGAGACCGCAUGAUCUACCAAGGAAAGGGUGGCCUCUACCUGUAAGCUAUCGCCUGAAGAGGGGUUUGCGU